rnacentral:rRNA from 1 species
GAUGAACGCUAGCGGCAGGCUUAAUACAUGCAAGUCGAGGGGCAGCACGAAUAGCAAUAUUUGGUGGCGACCGGCGCACGGGUGCGUAACACGUAUACAACCUACCUAUAACAGGGGAAUAGCCUUUCGAAAGAGAGAUUAAUACCCCGUAAUAAAUUGAGUGGCAUCACUUGAUUUUGAAAGCUCCGGCGGUUAUAGAUGGGUAUGCGUCUGAUUAGCUAGUUGGUGAGGUAAUGGCUCACCAAGGCGACGAUCAGUAGGGGAUCUGAGAGGACUAACCCCCACACUGGUACUGAGACACGGACCAGACUCCUACGGGAGGCAGCAGUAAGGAAUAUUGGUC